rnacentral:rRNA from 1 species
GACGAACGCUGGCGGCAUGCCUAACACAUGCAAGUCGAACGGAGAUUAUUUCGGUAAUCUUAGUGGCGAACGGGUGAGUAACGCGUGGGCAACCUGCCCUCUAGAUGGGGACAACAUCCCGAAAGGGGUGCUAAUACCGAAUGUGACAGCAAUCUCGCAUGAGGAUGCUGUGAAAGAUGGCCUCUAUUUAUAAGCUAUCGCUAGAGGAUGGGCCUGCGUCUGAUUAGCUAGUUGGUGGGGUAACGGCCUACCAAGGCGAUGAUCAGUAGCCGGUCUGAGAGGAUGAACGGCCACAUUGGGACGGAGACACGGCACAGACUCCUACGAGAGGCAGCAGUGGGGAAUCUUCCGAAAUGGGCGAAAGCCUGACGGAGCAAUGCCGCGGGAGUGAUGAAGGAAUUCGUUCCGUAAAGCUCUUUUGUUUAUGACGAAUGUGCAGAUUGUGAACAAUGAUCUGUAAUGACGGUAGUAAACGAAUAAGCCACGGCUAACUACGUG